CCACAUCUCAUUGAAACACUGGUCUCCUGUACGAUCACCGAAGUUAAGCAACGUUGAGCCUGGUCAGUAUCUAGAUGGGUGACGGUUUGAGAAUACUAGGUGCUGUAA